rnacentral:misc_RNA from 1 species
AACCUUAUGGACCUGCGGGCGUAUACCUGCGGAAGGAUCAUUACCGAGUUAUACAACUCAUCAACCCCUGUGAACUUACCUACAACGUUGCUUCGGCGGGAACAGACGGCCCCGUAAAACGGGCCGCCCCCGCCAGAGGACCCCUAACUCUGUUUUUAUAAUGUUUUUCUGAGUAAACAAGCAAAUAAAUUAAAACUUUCAGCAAUGGAUCU